rnacentral:rRNA from 1 species
ACGGGUGCGUAACACGUGGGUAAUCUGCCCUUCGAAGGGGAAUAACUCGCCGAAAGGCGAGCUAAUUCCGCAUAACAUUCCGAGAACCUUGGUUUUUGGAUUCAAAGGCGUAAGUCGUCGGAGGAGGAGCCCGCGCACGAUUAGCUAGUUGGUAGGGUAACGGCCUACCAAGGCUAUGAUCGUUAGCUGGUCUGAGAGGAUGGCCAGCCACACUGGAACUGAGACACGGUCCAGACUCCUACGGGAGGCAGCAGUGGGGAAUCUUGCACAAUGGGCGAAAGCCUGAUGCAGCGACGCCGCGUGGGGGAUGAAGCUUCUCGGAGUGUAAACCCCUUUCGACCCGGACGAAUGCCCCGCAAGGGGACUGACGGUACGGGUAUAAGAAGCCCCGGCUAACUACGUGCCAGCAGCCGCGGUAAGACGUACGGGGCCAGCGUUGCUC